GAGUUUGAUCAUGGCUCAGAACGUACGCUGGCGGCACGCCUAACACAUGCAAGUCGAACGAAGUAGCAAUACUUAGUGGCAGACGGGUGAGUAACAUGUAGGUAUCUGCCCUUUGGCCUGGAAUAACACGAGGAAACUUGUGCUAAUACCGGAUAAGUCUUUACGGAGAAAGCUUUAUGCACCAUUGGAUGAGCCUGCACUUGAUUAGUUUGUUGGUGGGGUAAUGGCCUACCAAGACUGUGAUCAAUAGCUGAUUUGAGAGGAUGAUCAGCCACAUUGGGACUGAGACACGGCCCAAACUCCUACGGGAGGCAGCAGUGGGGAAUCUUGCACAAUGGAGGAAACUCUGAUGCAGCGAUGCCGCGUGAGUGAAGAAGGCCCUUGGGUUGUAAAGCUCUUUCGUCGGGGAAGAAAAUGACUGUACCCGAAUAAGAAGGUCCGGCUAACUUCGUGCCAGCAGCCGCGGUAAUACGAAGGGACCUAGCGUAGUUCGGAAUUACUGGGCUUAAAGAGUUCGUAGGUGGUUGAAAAAGUUAGUGGUGAAAUCCCAGAGCUUAACUCUGGAACUGCCAUUAAAACUUUUCAGCUAGAGUGUGAUAGAGGAAAGCAGAAUUUCUAGUGUAGAGGUGAAAUUCGUAGAUAUUAGAAAGAAUACCAAUUGCGAAGGCAGCUUUCUGGAUCAUUACUGACACUGAGGAACGAAAGCAUGGGUAGCGAAGAGGAUUAGAUACCCUCGUAGUCCAUGCCGUAAACGAUGUGUGUUAGACGUUGGAAAUUUAUUUUCAGUGUCGCAGGAAACCGAUAAACACACCGCCUGGGGAGUACGACCGCAAGGUUAAAACUCAAAUGAAUUGACGGG
rnacentral:rRNA from 1 species